AGGAUAAACGCUGGCGGCGUGCCUAACACAUGCAAGUCGAACGUCCUACGCAAGUAGGGAGUGGCGGACGGGUGAGUAACACGUGGGCAAUCUACCUUUCGGUGAGGAAUACCGGCGAGAAAUCGCCGACAAUACCGCAUACGCUUCGCAAGAAGCAAAGUCGCAAGACGCCGGAGGAGGAGCCUGCGCCCGAUUAGCUGGUUGGUGAGGUAACAGCUCACCAAGGCGUCGAUCGGUAGC
rnacentral:rRNA from 1 species